UGCAGAAGGGCCAGCUCUCUGUGGCAGCGGAGCUGUCAAAGGACACCGGCCCUGUUGUUGUGUAUUUGGACGUUUCUGCCAGCGAUGAACCUUCAGGACACACAGCCACGGAGCUGCUUUCACACAUUGUCCCUCGGACGGCUGAAAAGCUCAGGGCCCUGUGCACAGGGGAGAAAGGCUCGUGGAUUCAGGAGUACCACGUUUCACAGGAUAGUUAGUGACUUCCUAUGUCAGAACCAGCAGUGGCAGCAACGAUGUCGAGACAACGACUUUCACAGGCAUGAGAAGUAAUGGAGAUGUGCACAGUUCUUCCAGCCGCUGUGCAAAGAGCGAAUCCAAACCAGCGCUCUUCUUUACAAGUCCCUUCAUGCUGUGAGGUUUCUGCCAACGGUGGGUGUGCUUACAACAGAGACAUGAGUUUUCUUUCAUUGUUAUUUUGUUCCAGGCGUGUACCUGGACAGAGCCCAGCAGUUCCAUGAUACCAUUGUGUCCGUGAUGCUUUCCUAGUGAAGGGAGUUUCACCUGGGUGAUACCUCCUUGUACAGCCAAAUGCACUGAA